AAUCAACGCUGGCGGCGCGCCUAAUACAUGCAAGUCGAACGCGAAAGUGGAGCAAUCCAUGAGUAGAGUGGCAAACGGGUGAGUAACGCGUGGGUGACCUGCCUUCGAGUGGGGAUAACGUUUCGAAGGAACGCUAAUACCGCAUGACAUCCUGCCUUUUAACAGGUGGAGAUCAAAGCUGGGGAUCGCAAGACCUAGCGCUUGAAGAGGGGCCCGCUCCGANAGUCUAGUUGGUGGGGUAACGGCUCACCAAGGCAACGAUCGGUAGCGGCCUGAGAGGGCGGACGGCCACACUGGGACUGAGACACGGCCCAGACUCCUACGGGAGGCAGCAGUAGGGAAUUGUUCGCAAUGGGCGCAAGCCUGACGACGCAACGCCGCGUGGAGGAUGAAGACCUCGGUC
rnacentral:rRNA from 1 species